GCCAAAGCACAAGAAGAAGAAGAACACAGGUUCCCCCACUGUCUGAAAGUAGAGCGUUUCUACGAAGGUCUCGAAAACUGAACUGGCAAAAGGCAAAGAAGCAGUUAACGUCUCAUGAAAGGGAAAAUCCUCUUUGGGUUUCUACUGGUUCGUGAAAACAGAUAUUGUGUACUAAAGGACCAUUCUACAAGAUGUUUUCUUACAACAGAGGAUAUUCCUUUUCUUCUCUGCUGGGCAAACAAGGGCAUGGAUAUCUGAUCUUCUGACUGAAAGCCUGAAGAGUCUCCAUCUCCUCAGUACUGAAAGAUCAAGGGAUCGAAUAGGCAGCUUCAUAUCCAUGUGUCUUCACACUCUGGAAGGUAUCUUGAGGGGGAGAGUGGCUAUGUAUCGAAGUCAAUGUUAUCCUAGAAUUUUUUUUGGUUCCCAAGCACACAAGUCUGAGAGGUUUUAUUCUGCCUUUUAGAAUCUUCCAUCUUAGAUCCCCUGUCUUCCACAUAACACCAGAACCAAGGAAAAUUUCCACGGGAAUCUGAUGGUGCAUUUAGGUCCCUGUGAGUUUUCAUCCUGUCACACCAACUCUUCAUGACUGCUGCAGCUUUGCUGGUUUUCAUUCUACUAGAGUCUCUUUGCUUGGGUAAACCCAAUGCCGAAGCUAUGCUCAUAGUUAACAAAUGCCCCUAAGGUUUAAAAAAAAAAAAAAAUGUCUGAAUGAUAUCAAUGUUCCUCAGAAACAUUUUUUCUUUACUAAAAAUUAGUAUAUCCAGUCCUUCUAGUUUCUGCAGUAUCCUGGCAUCUUUAAAAAUACAAUGUGUUUGUAAUUGAUCAAGAUUUUCUU
rnacentral:lncRNA from 1 species